rnacentral:rRNA from 1 species
GAUGAACGCUGGCGGCGUGCCUAAUACAUGCAAGUCGAGCGAACAGACGAGGAGCUUGCUCCUCUGACGUUAGCGGCGGACGGGUGAGUAACACGUGGAUAACCUACCUAUAAGACUGGGAUAACUUCGGGAAACCGGAGCUAAUACCGGAUAAUAUAUUGAACCGCAUGGUUCAAUAGUGAAAGACGGUUUUGCUGUCACUUAUAGAUGGAUCCGCGCCGCAUUAGCUAGUUGGUAAGGUAACGGCUUACCAAGGCAACGAUGCGUAGCCGACCUGAGAGGGUGAUCGGCCACACUGGAACUGAGACACGGUCCAGACUCCUACGGGAGGCAGCAGUAGGGAAUCUUCCGCAAUGGGCGAAAGCCUGACGGAGCAACGCCGCGUGAGUGAUGAAGGUCUUCGGAUCGUUAAACUCUGUUAUUAGGGAAGAACAAAUGUGUAAGUAACUAUGCACGUCUUGACGGUACCUAAUCAGAAAGCCACGGCUAACUACGUG